rnacentral:rRNA from 1 species
AUUGAACGCUGGCGGCAGGCCUAACACAUGCAAGUCGAGCGGUAGAGAGAAGCUUGCUUCUCUUGAGAGCGGCGGACGGGUGAGUAAUGCCUAGGAAUCUGCCUAGUGGUGGGGGAUAACGUUCGGAAACGGACGCUAAUACCGCAUACGUCCUACGGGAGAAAGCGGGGGAUCUUCGGACCUCGCGCCAUUAGAUGAGCCUAGGUCGGAUUAGCUAGUUGGUGAGGUAAUGGCUCACCAAGGCGACGAUCCGUAACUGGUCUGAGAGGAUGAUCAGUCACACUGGAACUGAGACACGGUCCAGACGCCUACGGGAGGCAGCAGUGGGGAAUAUUGGACAAUGGGCGAAAGCCUGAUCCAGCCAUGCCGCGUGUGUGAAGAAGGUCUUCGGAUUGUAAAGCACUUUAAGUUGGGAGGAAGGGUAGUAACCUAAUACGUUGCUACUUUGACGUUACCGACAGAAUAAGCACCGGCUAACUUCGUGCCAGCCGCCGCUAUAAUAC